UAACGCGAAGAACCUUACCUACUCUUGACAUCCACGGAAUUCGGCAGAGAUGCCUUAGUGCCUUCGGGAACCGUGAGACAGGUGCUGCAUGGCUGUCGUCAGCUCGUGUUGUGAAAUGUUGGGUUAAGUCCCGCAACGAGCGCAACCCUUAUCCUUUGUUGCCAGCGAGUCAUGUCGGGAACUCAAAGGAGACUGCCGGUGAUAAACCGGAGGAAGGUGGGGAUGACGUCAAGUCAUCAUGGCCCUUACGAGUAGGGCUACACACGUGCUACAAUGGCGCAUACAAAGAGAAGCGACCUCGCGAGAGCAAGCGGACCUCACAAAGUGCGUCGUAGUCCGGAUCGGAGUCUGCAACUCGACUCCGUGAAGUCGGAAUCGCUAGUAAUCGUGGAUCAGAAUGCCACGGUGAAUACGUUCCCGGGUCUUGUACACA
rnacentral:rRNA from 1 species